rnacentral:rRNA from 1 species
GACGAACGCUGGCGGCGUGCCUAAUACAUGCAAGUAGGACGCAGUUGCGAACGGGUGAGUAACGCGUAGGUAACUGCCUAUUAGAGGGGGAUAACUAUUGGAAACGAUAGCUAAUACCGCAUACUAGUAGAUGGACCUGCGUUGUAUUAGCUAGUAGGUAGGGUAAUGGCCUACCUAGGCGACGAUACAUAGCCGCACGGAGAGGGGGAUCGGCAACACUGGGACUGGGACACGGCCCAGAAUCCUACGGGAGGCAGCAGUAGGGAAUCUUCGGACAUGGGGGGAACCCUGACCGAGCAACGCCGCGUGAGUGAAGAAGGUUUUCGGAUCGGAAAGCUCUGUUGUUAAGGAAGCGGUACUUAACCAGAAAGGGACGGCUAACUACGGGCCAGCAGCCGCGGUAAUUC